CGAGACUCAAACGGAGUGAAGUGGAAACUAAUCGUCUGUUUCUUUCCCACCUCGACAGAUGAGAGACGAAGCGCAGCAGCUGCUAGAUUUCAAUCAGUGGGAAAUAAUAAAGAGUAAAGUCGGCCUGCCCAAUGGUGGAAGCUCCACAGACGCAUUAGAAAGGGAAAUUGCACUCAGCAGGAUGAAAAAUCAUUGUGUUACCCCAGGGGCCACAGGAACGCUCUCUUUCUCUCUCUUUCUCCCUCUUUCAGGUUUUCUCUCUGAGCAAACAAACAAACAACGGUUUCAUUACAGCAGAUUUGGGCCGCGCUUUAGACUUUAAUAGUAAAAGCUUCUGGGAUCCGCAG